AUGAACGCUGGCGGCGUGCCUAAUACAUGCAAGUCGAGCGAACAGACGAGGAGCUUGCUCCUCUGACGUUAGCGGCGGACGGGUGAGUAACACGUGGAUAACCUACCUAUAAGACUGGGAUAACUUCGGGAAACCGGAGCUAAUACCGGAUAAUAUAUUAAACCGCAUGGUUCAAUAGUGAAAGACGGUUUUGCUGUCACUUAUAGUUGGAUCCGCGCCGCAUUAGCUAGUUGGUAAGGUAACGGCUUACCAAGGCGACGAUGCGUAGCCGACCUGAGAGGGUGAUCGGCCACACUGGAACUGAGACACGGUCCAGACUCCUACGGGAGGCAGCAGUAGGGAAUCUUCCGCAAUGGGCGAAAGCCUGACGGAGCAACGCCGCGUGAGUGAUGAAGGUCUUCGGAUCGUAAAACUCUGUUAUUAGGGAAGAACAAAUGUGUAAGUAACUAUGCACGUCUUGACGGUACCUAAUCAGAAAGCCACGGCUAACUACGUG
rnacentral:rRNA from 1 species